ACCAGAUGAAUUACUCUCCGUAGGGGCCACGUGCUGGGUGUCCAUCACCCUUUGUCCCGCCUCUGGGAAGGUCUGAGAGAAGGGCCAAGUUUGCCACCCUAGCAGGGUGCCACCUUCUGAAGGUGGGUGAGUUCCAAGCAAUCCCAGCAAUGAAUGCCGUGUAGACACUUUCGACCAAAACCACGGUCGCCCAAUCAGCCCUUCUCUCCAUGCU
rnacentral:lncRNA from 1 species